GUGGGCGUGGGGGAGUGGUUAUCGGGCAUGACUAGAAAUCAUGUGGGCUUUGCCUACGCAGGUUUGAAUCUUGCCGCUCACG
rfam:Ipomoea nil DNA, scaffold: scaffold2283, cultivar: Tokyo-kokei standard.